rnacentral:rRNA from 1 species
UCGAGCUCGGCCAACGCGGGGGGCUAAUUAAUAAUCAACGCGGGCGGCUGCCCUAUGGUGGAGGUAACCCCGGGAUCCGGGGAUAAUACUCCAUAGUCAGGAGUACUGGAAUGUCUCCUAACUGAAAGUUGCGGCGCCAUAGGAUGAAUCUGCGGCCGAUUAGGUAGUUGUUGGGGUAACGGCCCAACAAGUCUUUUUAUCGGUACGGGUUGUGGGAGCAAGAGCCCGGAGAUGGAAUCUGAGACACGAUUCCAGGCCCUACGUUGCCUACAAAAUUUGCGAAAACUUUACAAUGCAGGAAACUGUGAUAAGGGAACCCCGAGUGCCCGUAAACGCGCGCUGUCCCGGUGUUUAAAACACAUCGGAAGAAAGGGCCGGGCAAGACCGGUGCCAGCCGCCGCGGUAAUACCGGCGGCUCGAGUGGUGACCACUUUUAUUGGGCUUAAAGCGUUCGUAGCUUGAUUUUUAAGUCUCUUGGGAAAUCUCACGGCUUAACUGUGAGGCGUCUAGGAGAUACUGGGAAUCUAGGGACCGGGAGAGGUAGAGGUACUUCAGGGUAGAGUGAAAUUCUGUAAUCCUUGAGGACCACCGAUGGCGAGCAUCUACUGAACGCUCGACAGUGAGGACGAGCUGGGGACGACGAUAAACCCGGUAGUCAGCGUAACAUAGCCGUUAGU